rnacentral:tRNA from 1 species
AUUGAGUUGGCAGAUAUUAUGUGAUUGGUUUAGGUUCAAUUUAGAUGGGUGAAAUUCCCAUACUUAGUA